GACGAACGCGGGCGGCGUGCUUAACACAUGCAAGUCGAACGGAAAUGCCCUGGUUUUGUGGUGUGCUCGAGUGGCGAACGGGGGAUUAACACGGUAGUAAUCUGCACUUGAAUUUGGUGUAUCAUCAGGAAACUCGGGCUAAUAUCGGAAAUUAGCUCUUGUUCCUUGGUGUGCAUUGGAAAGUUUCGGCGGUUGGGGAUGUACUCGCGGCUUAUCCGCUUGUUGGUGGGGUAGUGGCGUACCAUGGCUCUGACGGGUAGCCGGCUUGAGAGGGUGACCGGCCACAUUGGGACUGAGAUACGGCCCAGUCGGCUACGGGAGGCAGCAGUCGGGAAUAUUGCACAGUGGGCGGAAGCCUGAUGCAGCAACGCCGCGUGCGGAAUAACGGCCUUCGAGUUGUAAACCGCUUUCGCCUGUACCGAAGCGUGAGUGACGGUAAUGGGUAAAGAAGCACCGGCUAACUACGUG
rnacentral:rRNA from 1 species